CAUCGGUAGCAUUCUACAGCUGCUACCCGCCUGGGUACUACGAGCAUCAGCUUAAAACCCAAAGGACUUGGCGGUGCUUUAGAUCCACCUAGAGGAGCCUGUUCUAGAACCGAUGCCCCCCGUUCAACCUCACCCUUUCUUGUUUUCCCCGCCUAUAUACCACCGUCGUCAGCUUACCCUGUGAAGGCCUCAUAGUAAGCAAGAUUGGCACAGCCCAAAACGUCAGGUCGAGGUGUAGCGCAUGGAAGGGGAAGAAAUGGGCUACAUUCCCUCCCCUCAGGGAAUUACGGACGAUGUACUGAAAUACAUAUCUGAAGGAGGAUUUAGCAGUAAGCAAAAAAUAGAGUGUUUUGCUGAAAUUGGCCCUGAAGCGCGC
rnacentral:rRNA from 1 species